rnacentral:tRNA from 1 species
AACCCGGUGGUGUAAUCGGCAGCACAGCAGUUUUUGGUACUGUUAGUCCAGGUUCGAGUCCUGGCCGGGUUG